GUACUCGCUUCAGCAGCACAUACACUAAAAUUGGAACGAUACAGAGAAGAUGAGCAUGGCCCUUGUGCAAGGAUAACAUGUAAAUUCGUGAAGCGUUCCAUAUUUAA